rnacentral:rRNA from 1 species
CUAUAAUGCAGUCGAGCGAACAGAUAAGGAGCUUGCUCCUUUGACGUUAGCGGCGGACGGGUGAGUAACACGUGGGUAACCUACCUAUAAGACUGGAAUAACUCCGGGAAACCGGGGCUAAUGCCGGAUAACAUAUAGAACCGCAUGGUUCUAUAGUGAAAGAUGGUUUUGCUAUCACUUAUAGAUGGACCCGCGCCGUAUUAGCUAGUUGGUAAGGUAAUGGCUUACCAAGGCGACGAUACGUAGCCGACCUGAGAGGGUGAUCGGCCACACUGGAACUGAGACACGGUCCAGACUCCUACGGGAGGCAGCAGUAGGGAAUCUUCCGCAAUGGGCGAAAGCCUGACGGAGCAACGCCGCGUGAGUGAUGAAGGGUUUCGGCUCGUAAAACUCUGUUAUUAGGGAAGAACAUAUGUGUAAGUAACUGUGCACAUCUUGACGGUACCUAAUCAGAAAGCCACGGCUAACUACGUGCCAGCAGCCGCGGUAAUACGUAGGUGGCAAGCGUUAUCCGGAAUUAUUGGGCGUAAAGCGCGCGUAGGCGGUUUCUUAAGUCUGAUGUGAAAGCCCACGGCUCAACCGUGGAGGGUCAUUGGAAACUGGGAAACUUGAGUGCAGAAGAGGAAAGUGGAAUUCCAUGUGUAGCGGUGAAAUGCGCAGAGAUAUGGAGGAACACCAGUGGCGAAGGCGACUUUCUGGUCUGUAACUGACGCUGAUGUGCGAAAGCGUGGGGAUCAAACAGGAUUAGAUACCCUGGUAGUCCACGCCGUAAACGAUGAGUGCUAAGUGU